AGAGUUUGAUCCUGGCUCAGGAUGAACGCUAGCUACAGGCUUAACACAUGCAAGUCGAGGGGCAGCAUGGCUUAGCUUGCUAAGGCUGAUGGCGACCGGCGCACGGGUGAGUAACGCGUAUCCAACUACCCCAUAGUAGGGGAUAGCCCGUAGAAAUGCGGAUUAAUACCCUAUGUUUUCCGAGGAGGACAUCUGACUUGGAACAAGAUUCAUCGCUAUGGGAUGGGGAUGCGUCCGAUUAGCUUGUUGGCGGGGUGACGGCCCACCAAGGCGACGAUCGGUAGGGGUUCUGAGAGGAAGGUCCCCCACACUGGUACUGAGACACGGACCAGACUCCUACGGGAGGCAGCAGUGAGGAAUAUUGGUCAAUGGGCGAGAGCCUGAACCAGCCAAGUAGCCGUGCAGGAAGACGGCCCUACGGGUUGUAAACUGCUUUUAUCAGGGGAUAAAGUGUGGGACGCGUCCCUCAUUGCAGGUACCUGAUGAAUAAGGACCGGCUAAUUCCGUGCCAGCCGCGGC
rnacentral:rRNA from 1 species